rnacentral:tRNA from 1 species
GCCUAGGUGGCUCAGUCGGUUGAGCAUCUGACUUCGGCUCAGGUCAUGAUCUCACGGUCCGUGAGUUCGAGCCCCACAUUGGGCU